rnacentral:misc_RNA from 1 species
GCCAUUGUAGAGUCUCAGGUGACCCUAAGUAAAUAUGAGUUAAAGAAAAUGGCGUCAACAGAUGUGCAUAUUUAACAUGAUUUCAUGAUAAGCAUUGUCAUACAUUAUAGAAGAAGGCACAAGUCACAAUCAAUUAUAACUAAGGAUUUCUCAUUCAAUCAUGCACUUUUAAAUUUUUACUUGCGCAACAGCAUUUAGUGAUAAUCUUCCCCUCAAAUUUGAGGUUCAAACACACUGGAAAAAAUAUUAUCCAGAAAUUAGGAAAGAAAACGUCUCCACUUUUCUGCACAACAUAAUAAGAGAUGCACACAACUCAACUCAACUAACUCCCCCCAAACGUAUAAAGAGAGAACAUCUAUCAUCUAAAUGCUUUUGACAGUUGCUUAUCUUGCACUAAAUGCCUUGAUAAAUUAAAAGGAAGAAGUUACUAAAAUGAACAUAUUUCUAGAAUGUCAGCAAAAAAAACCAGCAAUGUCAUAUAAAGCGGAUGAUGCUAGUUUAUUGGUGUGCUAGAAUCCUAAGUGGGCAAGAAUGACACAUCACUAAGCAGAACUCAUGCUACUAAGCAUUAAACUAUCAAUAAAACAUGAAUGCUGCACUGUAAGUCUUAAUGUAAAGGCCAAAGAAAAAAGGUCUAACAUGAGGUCACAAGAAUUAAGAUGAUAAGCACAAAUGCAAAGGUUAAAAAUCCUCAAGUUUUGAGAACCUCUACCAUGCCUGAGGCCGGAUACCAUCUAACAAUUUAGAAGUAUGAGACAAGACAAGUACACUUACUGCAGCAUCUGAUUGUUUCAUAU